AGUGAACGCUGGCGGUAGGCCUAACACAUGCAAGUCGAACGGCAGCACAGUAAGAGCUUGCUCUUACGGGUGGCGAGUGGCGGACGGGUGUGGCAUACAUCGGAAUUUACUUUUUCGUGGGGGAGAACGUAGGGAAAGUUACGUUAAUACCGCAUACGACCUACGGGUGAAAGCAGGGGAUCUUCGGACCUUGCGCGAUUGAAUGAGCCGAUGUCGGAUUAGCUAGUUGGCGGGGUAAAGGCCCACCAAGGCGACGAUCCGUAGCUGGUCUGAGAGGAUGAUCAGCCACACUGGAACUGAGACACGGUCCAGACUCCUACGGGAGGCAGCAGUGGGGAAUAUUGGACAAUGGGCGCAAGCCUGAUCCAGCCAUACCGCGUGGGUGAAGAAGGCCUUCGGGUUGUAAAGCCCUUUUGUUGGGAAAGAAAAGCAGCAGGUUAAUACCCCGCUGUUCUGACGGUACCCAAAGAAUAAGCACCGGCUAACUUCGUG
rnacentral:rRNA from 1 species